UAGUGACGAAAAAUAACGAUACGGGACUCAUCCGAGGCCCCGUARUCSSWWUGAGUACACUUUAAAUCCUUUAACGAGGAUCCAUUGGAGGGCAAGUCUGGUGCCAGCAGCYRCGGUAAUUCCAGCUCCAAUAGCGUAUAUUAAAGUUGUUGCGGUUAAAAAGCUCGUAGUUGAAUCUGUGUGUCACGAUGUUGGUUCACCGCUCGCGGUGUUUAACUAGCAUGCCGUGAGACGUCCUACCGGUGGGCUUAGCUCUUCACGGGGCGGUCCAACUAAUAUCCCAUCGCGGUGCUCUUCAUCGAGUGUCGAGGUGGGCCGGUACGUUUACUUUGAACAAAUUAGAGUGCUUAAAGCAGGCUAUCUUCGCCUGAAUACUGUGUGCAUGGAAUAAUGGAAUAGGACCUCGGUUCUAUUUYGUUGGUUUUCGGAACCCCGAGGUAAUGAUUAAUAGGGACAGAUGGGGGCAUUCGUAUUGCGACGUUAGAGGUGAAAUUCUUGGAUCGUCGCAAGACGGACAGAAGCGAAAGCAUUUGCCAAAAAUGUUUUCAUUAAUCAAGAACGAAAGUUAGAGGUUCGAAGGCGAUCAGAUACCGCCCUAGUUCUAACCAUAAACGAUGCCAGCUAGCGAUCCGCCGAAGUUCCUCCGAUGACUCGGCGGGCAGCUUCCGGGAAACCAAAGCUUUUGGGUUCCGGGGGAAGUAUGGUUGCAAAGCUGAAACUUAAAGGAAUUGACGGAAGGGCACCACCAGGAGUGGAGCCUGCGGCUUAAUUUGACUCAACACGGGAAACCUCACCAGGCCCGGACACCGGAAGGAUUGACAGAUUGAUAGCUCUUUCUUGAUUCGGUGGGUGGUGGUGCAUGGCC
rnacentral:rRNA from 1 species